rnacentral:lncRNA from 1 species
UCCAGCCUGGGCGACAGAGCAAGACUCCAUCUCAAAAAACAACAACAACAGCAACAAAAAACAAGAAACAAAAACAACAACAACAACAAAAACACAACUGUGCCUUGUUUGCUGGCUCUGGGUCUUUUCUUUGGCCUCUUGAACCUGGUGCCAUCUCUAUUGAAGUUAAGAGGGGUCCAGCAUGAAAUAUAGUUAAUUAGUAAGAAUUUAAACCCAGGACUCUAUGACUGCAGAACCUGCAUUUUGGACGACAGACCCAGAGCCCCUGCCUGCCCCUAUACAGUGCGCCCCCAGCAGAUGGGAGCCAGUUCCCUUCAGACCUAUUUUACUGUGUCAAUGUCUUAAGGAAAAUGGCAACUGAAACAUAGUAGUUGCUUAAUAAAUGUCUCGUGAAUGGAACCAAUGUCUUGCCCUUUCUAGUAGACAGCAACCCCUUUAGGUAGGGACCAAACAGUCCUCACAGUAACACACACAGUGUCACAUCUGUGGCCACGUUGGUGGCCAUAGCAUCAUGGGAGAAGACCUCAAGGUGAACAGGGGUUGCCCAGUAAGUGGCCCCUCACCCUUUCUCCCCUGGAUUUCAUCUUGCUUUUGAGUGUUCUCCAACUUUGGCUAGUCCCUGCCCUCUUUGUAAUAUAAUUACUGCUCUGAAGAGAACAAAUCCAGCCUCUGCCAUGAUCUCCCUGGCCCACUGGGCCGAAGCUCCUCUGGCCUUCUUUCCUCUUCCAGGCCUUUGCCAUUGCUGUGCCCUCUCCCUGGGUGUUCUGCCCCUACUCAGACCUUCACAGAACCAACUCCUUCUCCUUCUUGACAUCUCGGCUCACAUAUUGUCUCCUCCCCGUGGCCUUCCCUGAUCAGGCCAUCUAAAUCCCCACCCUCUCCCAUUGCUCUCGUCCCUUUAUUGUGUUCAUCACACUGUUGAUACAGACAUCAUCUUGUUCAUUUACUUGUUUGCCUGUCCUCCAUUGUUGCAUCCCCAGCACCCACAACAGGGCUUGGCUCUUAGGUGUAGGCACUCACUAUUUUUAUUUUUUGAGAUGGAUUCUCACUCUGAUGCCCAGGCUGGAGUGCAGUGGCACUAUCUCGGCUCACUGCAACCUCCGCCACCCGGCUCAAGUGAUUCUCCUGCCUCAGUCUCUCAAGUAGCUGGGACUACAGGUGCAAGCCACCAUACCUGGCUAAUUUUUGUAUUUUUAGUAAAGAUGGUGUCUCACCAUGUUGGCCAGGCUGGUCUCAAAAUCCUGACCUCAAAUGAUCCACCUGCCUUGGCCUCCCAAAGUGCUGGGAUUACAGGCGUGAGCCACCGUACCUGGCCACUAAAUAUUAGUUGAAAGAACAAAUGAACAAAGGAACUUUUAAGGAGGGGGCAGCAGGAAGUGCGGAGGGGUGGGACAAUUUCUUCUCUUAGGGAACUUUAUUCCUUGAGGGUGUCUUGUGCAGUUGAGGCUGUUUCCCUUUAGAGGGGAUCAGCAUGGAACAAAUGAGCUGGUGUGGACACAGCCGCGAGGAAUGUGGUUGGAACAGGGAAGCCCAGCCCUCAAGUACCAAGGAGACCCCAGCAGGCGCUGUUGGCUUUGCAGGAAACCAGACUACGAGGCUCCCCUGGUCACAGCCUCCCAGGGCCCCUCCUUGGCUGCUGGGCUGAGCAGGGCUGGACUGAGCUGGCUGAUUUCCACUUUAUUUUGUGUGAUGACUUCCCCCCUCCCUGGAAUGAUUAGGCCUUAAUAAAUAACAUUUCUCUCUGAUAUUGUGCCAUCAUUAAUUCUGCUUAGCUCUCCUCGGAGAAAAUUUUGUGGAAACAUUCUCAGUGCUGCUAUUUAAAGCUAAAUUAAUUUGGCUGAUUAUUUCUGUCCAAGUAGAUUUGUGCCCAGGAGACCAGGGCCAGCACCAAGGAGAAGCAGAGUGAGUGCUCAUCCCCGUCCCUGAGGCCUUGGCUACAGUUUCUGCCUGCACCUUACUCUGCACAUCUCAAGUUUGAGUCCUCUCUGGUAGGUUGGGGGAGAAAAGGGGACCUGAACUCUGAUUUUGGCAGCUCAGAUUCUUCCAGCGUCACCUAAAGUGAGGGUGGCACGAAGGGGAUCCAUCUGCUGUUCUUUCGCAUUGCUGGCCCCACAGAGGCUUGUACAAGUUCGAGCUUCUUAGAAAAGACACCAUCAUGCCUAUAAUCCCAGCACUUUGGGAGGCCAAGGUGGGCAGAUCACCUGAGGUUAGGAGUUCAAGAUCAACCUGGCCAACAUGGCGGGACUCCGUCUCUACUAAAAGUACAAAAAUUAGCCAGGUGUGGUGGCAGGCACCUGUAAUCCCAGCUACUCAGGAGGCUGAGGCAGGAGAAUUGCUUGAACCCCAGAGGUGGAGGUUGCAUUGAGCUGAGAUCACACCACAGCACUCCAGCCUGGACAACAAGAGCAAGACCCCGUCUAAAAAAAAAAAAGACACCAAUGUGAUACUGGGCGCUAUUCUUGUUCAUGUACCAGGACGAAGCUGUAUAAAACAAGUGUAACCCCUUAGGUUUCUAUGUACCAGUUCUGUAGAUCUACAUAAAAAUUAGGGGUCUGAAUGCUUAGGGGGUUCUGUGUAGGUAAGUCAGUUUCUUUAGAGCAAUGAAGUUGUCAGGCUGCAGUCAGGCCAACAGCAGGAUCCCAAGCCCCAGUGAAGGGGUUUAAGUAAACAAUGCUGGCUUAAUGAUGCUGAGUUCUCUUUAAUGGGCCAGGGCUACCAUAGCACACCAGGUUUCUCCAUACAAAGCUGGAUUCUGUGAAUUCAGAUUUCUGUAAAAUUACCAAGGCUUUGGCACAAUGAAGCACAGUUCUGAAGAAAAAGGCAGGAUUCUGUGUAGCCGGGUAAAUUUCUGUGUAACAAAUCCGGGUUAUGUAGAAUAAAGAUGAUCUCUGGAUAUCAAUAUUGGAGUCUGUUGAAAAAUCCUGAAGCAGAGUGGAGUUCUGGAGAACCAGUGGAGUUCUGCCUGGAGAGCAGGCAGGUGUGUCCACAAAGAGUGUUCUGGGUCAAGUGCAGGGUUUUGUAUAACAAUGGCAUGGUUCUGUGUUUGGGGAUAAAAAAGCAGAUUUCCAGAAGGCAAAGAGGGGCUCUGUGUACUGAAUGAGAUCUGGAUACAGUAGGGGCCUACAUAACAAAGCAGAUUUUUCUAAGAGCUUGAAGAGAUUACAAUUCUCAAUGACAAAGCAAUCAUGCACAUGGGUUCUGUAUAAUACGGCAGGGUCCUGUGUGACAAAACGAGGCACAGCACACCUUGUGUGAUCUGGCCCAGGUCAGGUGCCUCUCCUAGCUGCAAGGGAGGCUGGAAAGUGAUCAACUGGUACUCUUCAUCUGGACGAUGGGAAGCUAGCCCUGACACAAGAGUGGGGAUUCCUUUAACAUGGGAAGGGGAUUCAGAUGUUGGACAGCCAAAAAGAAUGACACCUCCAGCCCCCAAGUCUCUCUGCACCUGGGACAUCUCUAUCUGGAGGCCAUGCACACACCCAACUCUAUGUGUCCCAUACUGAGCUUGUCACCUUUCCCCACCAGAUUGGCUUAUCUCUCCAGUGAUGACAUGGGACUAGGUAUAGCACCAUCCUUUUCAUUUCCCAAAUGAGAUACUUUGGAGUCCUUACAGACUUGUGUUUUCAUUGCCCUCAUCCAAUCAGUAACUAACCCAGUCUCUUCUUCCUUGAUGUCCCAUCAGUCCAUUCUUACCCUCCUCACCCUCAGGCAUACCCCUUCAGAAUUACUGGAGCAGCUCACAGGUGCAUGUCACUUCAUUAUGUGCAAAGGUCUUACAUCUCAUGUUCUUUUUCACUCCUCACUAUUGAGCUGCAGUGGCAGGCUGUGGAGACUCAGGCCAAAUAGUGUUAUCAUGUCUAGAUCCCAGAUUGCUGUAACUGGGAUACAGGGUCAGCUGUGACACAGACCUAAAGUAACAGUCACUUAAACAAGAUCAGAAGUUAUUUCUUUCCUAGGUUGACAGGCUGGCCGUAAGCAGUCCAACUGAGUAGGGUUGUCCCUGGGUCCAUUCCUUAGGGUGCUGCCCUCCUUGGCAUGGCCAAGAGGAGUCACCACGGUGUCCACUGGGUCUGUCUUCUAGCUGAGGGGAGAGAGCAAACGGAGCUGUGGGGCUGCAGGGCCAGCCAGGCCACCUUCUCCAAGAGCACAACCCAGAGGUACCCAUGUCACUUCUCACAUCACUGGCCAAGUUUAGUGGCAAAGGAGGCUAGGAAAUGUAGUUGAUUCUGGAGAGCCAGGUGCCCAGUUAAAACCUAGAGGUUCAUUACUUAGGAAAGCAGGGACAGCUGACAGUCUCCGCCGCUCAGAUUUAAACAAUUAAAAUAACGUAGAACCUAAAAACAAGCAUUUAUGGAGCUCCUAAAAGGCAGGCAGUCUCAUUUGAUCAUCACACCAACAUGGCAAGGCAGGAAUUAUCAUUCCUCUUUAUGAAGAAGGAAACUGGGGUGAGGAGGCGUAUUAAAUGACUUGUGGAAGAUCACAAAAUUUAAACGUGACAAGAUGGGGCCCAAAGCCACCAAGCUGAUGCCAGAGCCCAGGUUUUCCAUCACUUCACCCAGAAUGGAAUUUCCAAGGAAGAGGGACAUUGUCAGUUUUCUUCACAGCUCUAUUCCCAGCACCGAGAACACUAGGGGAUGAAUCAUUGAUAUUUCUGGAAUGAAUGAAUUUUUGUUCCCUUCUUCCUGUUGGCUCCUCAACCUGAGAGAAGGGACUUCUACACUUUCUUGCCAUGUGGGAAUGUGCUAGUGUCUUCUCUCCCCUUCUUUAUUCCUUUCUAGUUGGGCCACCUACCACUGCAAUGUCACUCUUCCGUGUGUGCAUGUGUGUGUGUGUGCAUGUGUGUGUGCGGGCGUGUGUGUGUGUGUGCGGGCGUGUGCGUGCGUGUGUGUGUGGGUGUGUGUGUGCGCGCACGGGCGUGUGUGUGUGUGUGUGUGUGUAUGGAGGGACAACACAUUCCACAGUGAGGUCUGGUUUUCAAGGGUGAAAACUCAGCUAAAAGAAUUCUUGCUGUGGUGUCCUGAACCUCCAAUCAUCUCUCCUUCUCAUUCUUUAUUUAUUUUGGAGAGGGAAGUCUCACUUUGUUGCCCAGUCUGGAGUGCAGUGGAGCAAUCAUAGCUCACUGCCACCCCAAACUCCUGGGCUCAAGGGAUCCUUCCUGCCUCAGUCUCCCAAGUAGCUGGGACUUCAGGCAUCUGCCACUGCACCUGGCUAAUUAACUUUUUUUUUUUUUUUUUUUGUAGAGAUAGGGUCUCACUAUGUUGGUCAGGCUGGUCUUGCACUGCUGGGCUCAAGCAAUCCUCCUGCCUCCACCUCCCAAAGCACUGUGAUUAUAGGCAUGAGCCACUGUGCCCGGCCCCCUCAGUCUUUAUACAGCUUGGGAGUUAAGAGGCUGAGGAACCUGGAGGGGCGCUGAGCAUCUAAAAUAAAAGUUUCCUUCUGCAUAUGACAUGAAUAGCUGACAUCUGUCAGUCCCUUACUAUGUGCCGGCUCUGUUCUAAACUCUUUAAUGUACUUCAUUUACUUCUCACAACAAUGCUAUGAGUUGGGUACCCUUCAUAGUCCUCUUUUACAGAUCAAGAAAUGGAGGCACAGAGAGGUUAAGUAAUACGUCCAAGCUCACACUGCCAGUAAGGAAGCCAGGAUAAAGCUCAAGGCUGCACCUAUAAAUGCUACUCUACAGCUGUAUAACAACACACUUAUUAGAUAGUCAAACGCUCUACAUUUUACAGGCCUCGGUGCAGCUGUGUUUAUUUUGAUUCACAAUAAGGCUCAUUUUUCAGAUAGGAAGACUGAGGCUUAGAGAGGCUAAGUCUCUGCCCCAAUGGUCCAGUUUACUGCUGGCCUGUUCACAGCUCCCUGUAGUCUCCCGUCAGCGGAGGCCUGUGGAAGUGCUCUAUCCCUGAGCUCUCUCUGGCUCUGAAGGCAGUCUAGGGCACGUCUGUUGCUCACUUUCCUCCAGGGGCGCCUCCCUUGCUUUCCUUGGGGAUCCACAGCCCUUGCAGGCCGCCCUCCCUCCCAGCUGUUGCCGCUGUGCGUGCAUGUCAGGGGAGUGCUGGUGCAUGGUGGGUACUGAGUGGGGGAAGAGGGCUGUUUAUUUACAAGAUGACAAUUUUGAUGUAUUUGCUAGGGGGAAAAACACCCCAGCACCACACAAUUAAAUUAAAAGAGCAGCAGUUGUGGGCGAAGCUCAUCUACAGCUGACUUAGAACCAAAUGGAUCUGAGAAAAACAGCAUAAAUUGCCGUGGCUUCAGCUGCUCAGCUGGCAAGUCCCCCCGCUGCAGCCCUUAGAUGCUGCUGUGGGGCUGACCUCAGCUUGCCCAGGUGUGCACCCUGCCCAGGACCUGUGUAGGAUGGAGUGAUGAGGGGCUGGGGCAUAGCUCUGGUGUUUAUUGGCUUUUGUGCCAUGACGGGCCUUCCUGGGGCGUCACAGAACAGAAAGCCUUCCUGAUCUCCAUGGAUGGCUUCAUUCCUCUCUGCUGUCCAGGCCAGAAGUGUGGCCAUGAUGUGAACUUCUCCUGCCUCCCUCCUCGCCUCAGCCACUUAGUCAUCAGGUUCUGGGGGGCCUAGCAUUUUUGUACCUGUCUGGCUCUUUCCCUCCUCUCUCCCCUCCUCUCUGGUCAUUGGAACGCUCAUUCUGUGUUUCAUCUGAAAAGUGGUGACAGCCUCUUCCCUGCCUCCAGUUUUACCCAGUUAGAUACACUCAACAUUCAGGCUGGGCGCAGUGGCUCACACCUGUAAUCCCAGCACUUUGGGAGGCUGAGGCGAGUGGGUCACUUGAGGCUAGGAGUUUGAGAUCAGCCUGGCCAACAUGGCAAAACCCUGUCUCAACUAAAAAUACAAAAAUUAGCCAAGCGUGUUGGCACGCAUCUGUAAUCCCAGCUACUUGGUAGGCUGAGACACAAGAAUUGCUUGAAGCUGGGAGGCGGAGGUUGCAGUGAGCUGAGAUCGUGUCACUGAACUCCAGCCUGGGUGAAAGAGUGAGACUCUGUCUCAAAAAACAAACAAACAAACAAACAAACAAAGAAAAAUAAAAAAGAUCUACUCUGCAUUUAGCAAUUAUACUCCUAAAUUUCUUAGCAUGUCAUUCAAAGCUCUUGAAUCCAUCAGACUUCUGCUAUGGUGCUGUACAACAAACACUCCCUAAAUCUCAAUGGCUAACGACUACAAAUACUAAUGUUUCUUAUGCAUGGGCCUUCAGGUGGGCUGGGGCAGCUCUGUUUCAAGUGGUAGGCUGGGUUCAGGGCUGUGCCACGUGGCUUUCAUUCUGGGACCAGCAUCUCGCCAAAGCAUGCCCUUCCCAAGGCAGAAUGGCAGAUCACAAGAGGCCUAGCUAAACUAUGCAAGCACUUUUAAAGUCUCUGCUCACGUUGAGUCCGCCAAUCCUUCACUGGCCAAAGCAAGCCACGUGGCUGAGCUCAGUGGGGCAGGAAAUUAUACUUCACCUCCUCCAAUAGCAAGAGACAAGUCACAUGGCAAAAGGAGCUGAUGUGUAAUACUAUUACAAGGAGAAAUAGAAUAAUUGGGAGUAAUAACACAAUUUUCCAUGACCCUUUAUAACCAUGAUUCUCAAAGGUGUUGUCUGUGGACUGCUAAGUAGCACCAACAUCACCUUGGCCUACCCCAGGCCAACUGAAUCAGAAGCUCUGACCGUGGGGUCUGGCAGUGUUUGUUCUAACAAGUCGUUCCGGUGAUGCAGGCUAGAGUUUGAGAACCACUGCUGGGCAACCUGGCUGCCCCUUUCCUGACCCCCGAGUCUCACUCGUUCUGGCUGCAGUGGAAAUAUGUCCCUUCCCGAGCCGUUCUUUCUCCCUGACAGAAUGCUCAUUCCUCCCCAGCCUGGCAACUUCCUGCUCAGUUUUCAAGGCUUGGAUCAAAUGUCCCCUCCUCUGGGGUAGAAACCUGUGUACCCCACCCCUAGCUCAAAGAGAAUGAAUCACUCCCUCCUUUGUGCUCUCAUGGGACUCCAACAGGUACAGGGGAAACAGCAGGACCCAGAGGGUAUGUCAACUUUGGGCUCGGAACAGGGACUCCUCCACAGUCAAGACUGUGUCUUAUUGGCUAUUCCAUCCCCAGCACAUCACCUAUGCCUGCCACAUGGUAAGCGCUCAAUAGCUGUUGCCUGAUUUUGUUGCUGACUUUCAGGUGCUGUUGCCAGGGUGAGGGUACAUUACUAUUUCUGCCCCAAGAACCAGGCUUCCCAGGAUGUGCAGUUGGGAAUAUUGAUGGAGGGGGAAUAAUGGGUGAGGUGAUCAGGGCAGCUCAGGCUGGGCCCUGCUUAGACUGUAAGUGUGAAUGGGGAAAAGGUUCUGAAUCCUUGGGUAUGGCCAGGAAACAGAUGAGGAGAGCAUCUGGUGCCCAGAUGCCUGGCAGCUGUCCUUGUUUGUGGCAAAUCUGGUAAAGGCUCAUCCAGGGACACUGCAGGGCUGGGGGAGCUCUGCUUGUUUAUUAGAUAUUGGGAAAGCUAACUGACCAUCAGACAGGGGGGUUUUGGGCAGAGCUACCUCCCCCAUCAGACUAGGAUCUCAUCUGAGGCAGGGCUCAGAUUUCCAUUUCAAGGGAAAUCUCUAUCAAGGUGGAGGCUCCUGGGCAGCAUGAAUUGUUUCUGUCCCCUCAAACAAGGGGAGCCCUCCUUACCCAGUUGAGCUGUCUUCCUUUGUGUGGGAAUUGAGUUCUUCCCCCAAGACUUGGGCAUCCCUGGGAUGGGGAAGGGGCUGACAGAUAAAUCCUUAGACAGAUGCCUCAUUGUUCUCCAAAAAAAAAAAAAAAAAAAAAAAAGACAACAGCAUCCUCCCUUCACCUUUAAUAGUUGACAUCCUUAUAUAGACAUUUUGUCCAUCUCUCUGCCUUCAACCUGAACACCUUUCCCUUUCCAAAACACCCGUAGAAUGAGCAGUCAACCUAAGGAUGAAGAGGGAUGAGGAAGCUGUGGGAUUUGGUGCUGGGUGGAGGGGAAGAUGCAGUAGGCCAAGAAAAGCCUCUACCUUCCAAUCUUUUCCUUUUGGGCUGACAGGUACGUUUCAAGGGAAAUUGAAUCUGCACAUUUCAGCUUCAUUUGCACUUAACACAUCUGGCUGGCAGUGGGCAGGAGGCUUUUGAUGUCUGCGUUUCGGUGCCCAAGCCUUUUUAAGCCUCUUUUCUUUGAAGCCAGGGAGACUUGUGUUUCUGCCAAGGAGUAAACAGACUUGUACACCCUCCAGCAAUUUAGUCUUUGGAGACCUGGCUCCCAAAGGCCCUGGGGGCUGGAGGCCCCACUUCUUCAUUUGUUCAGCCUACAAACACUUAUUCAAGACUUACUGUGCAAAAGCUUCCCCAAAACUGCCUUUCAUAGGAAGGGUAUAGAGAGAAACUCUGGCAGAUUUCACAAUCAAACUCACCAAGCUCAUUUGUCUAAGAAGCAAGGGAAGGGAGUCUAUGUCCCACCAAUAUUUUCUAGAGUGACUUUAGCUCCCCGAUAAUUUCAUCAGCCUCUCUACCUUCCCACCCACCUCUAAAGUCAUCCCUUGCUGUUCUUAUUUGUAAUGUGGGCAAAUUGAUGAUUUCUCAAUGUCAUAUGAAGUGUGAAUAAAGCACUUGAGAAAGUGUGGCUGUUUUUAUUGAUCUGAGGUAAUCUAUACAAUGACAGCAUUGUGUGCAAAGGCGGGCUGUGCUGCCCAGCCUCUUGUUGGAACAGACUGGUGCCUCAACGCCCCUCCUUAGAGAACUCUUGCAAAACACACAGGAAGACACCUUGGCCCCUUCUUUCCAGUUCACUGACUUUGUCCUGCCUCACAACCCCAAUCUGAUCCCAUAACCUUCCCUACUCCUCUUGAGCCUCCAGAGGGAGAAGUCCCGCUUUUGGUCCUGACUGCAGGAAAGCAG